rnacentral:rRNA from 1 species
GGGUUGUGAGGUUAAGCGACUAAGCGUACACGGUGGAUGCCCUGGCAGUCAGAGGCGAUGAAGGACGUGCUAAUCUGCGAUAAGCGUCGGUAAGGUGAUAUGAACCGUUAUAACCGGCGAUUUCCGAAUGGGGAAACCCAGUGUGUUUCGACACACUAUCAUUAACUGAAUCCAUAGGUUAAUGAGGCGAACCGGGGGAACUGAAACAUCUAAGUACCCCGAGGAAAAGAAAUCAACCGAGAUUCCCCCAGUAGCGGCGAGCGAACGGGGAGCAGCCCAGAGCCUGAAUCAGUAUGUGUGUUAGUGGAAGCGUCUGGAAAGGCGCGCGAUACAGGGUGACAGCCCCGUACACAAAAAUGCACAUAUUGUGAGCUCGAUGAGUAGGGCGGGACACGUGGUAUCCUGUCUGAAUAUGGGGGGACCAUCCUCCAAGGCUAAAUACUCCUGACUGACCGAUAGUGAACCAGUACCGUGAGGGAAAGGCGAAAAGAACCCCGGCGAGGGGAGUGAAAAAGAACCUGAAACCGUGUACGUACAAGCAGUGGGAGCACGCUUAGGCGUGUGACUGCGUACCUUUUGUAUAAUGGGUCAGCGACUUAUAUUCUGUAGCAAGGUUAACCGAAUAGGGGAGCCGAAGGGAAACCGAGUCUUAACUGGGCGUUAAGUUGCAGGGUAUAGACCCGAAACCCGGUGAUCUAGCCAUGGGCAGGUUGAAGGUUGGGUAACACUAACUGGAGGACCGAACCGACUAAUGUUGAAAAAUUAGCGGAUGACUUGUGGCUGGGGGUGAAAGGCCAAUCAAACCGGGAGAUAGCUGGUUCUCCCCGAAAGCUAUUUAGGUAGCGCCUCGUGAAUUCAUCUCCGGGGGUAGAGCACUGUUUCGGCAAGGGGGUCAUCCCGACUUACCAACCCGAUGCAAACUGCGAAUACCGGAGAAUGUUAUCACGGGAGACACACGGCGGGUGCUAACGUCCGUCGUGAAGAGGGAAACAACCCAGACCGCCAGCUAAGGUCCCAAAGUCAUGGUUAAGUGGGAAACGAUGUGGGAAGGCCCAGACAGCCAGGAUGUUGGCUUAGAAGCAGCCAUCAUUUAAAGAAAGCGUAAUAGCUCACUGGUCGAGUCGGCCUGCGCGGAAGAUGUAACGGGGCUAAACCAUGCACCGAAGCUGCGGCAGCGACGCUUAUGCGUUGUUGGGUAGGGGAGCGUUCUGUAAGCCUGCGAAGGUGUGCUGUGAGGCAUGCUGGAGGUAUCAGAAGUGCGAAUGCUGACAUAAGUAACGAUAAAGCGGGUGAAAAGCCCGCUCGCCGGAAGACCAAGGGUUCCUGUCCAACGUUAAUCGGGGCAGGGUGAGUCGACCCCUAAGGCGAGGCCGAAAGGCGUAGUCGAUGGGAAACAGGUUAAUAUUCCUGUACUUGGUGUUACUGCGAAGGGGGGACGGAGAAGGCUAUGUUGGCCGGGCGACGGUUGUCCCGGUUUAAGCGUGUAGGCUGGUUUUCCAGGCAAAUCCGGAAAAUCAAGGCUGAGGCGUGAUGACGAGGCACUACGGUGCUGAAGCAACAAAUGCCCUGCUUCCAGGAAAAGCCUCUAAGCAUCAGGUAACAUCAAAUCGUACCCCAAACCGACACAGGUGGUCAGGUAGAGAAUACCAAGGCGCUUGAGAGAACUCGGGUGAAGGAACUAGGCAAAAUGGUGCCGUAACUUCGGGAGAAGGCACGCUGAUAUGUAGGUGAAGUCCCUUGCGGAUGGAGCUGAAAUCAGUCGAAGAUACCAGCUGGCUGCAACUGUUUAUUAAAAACACAGCACUGUGCAAACACGAAAGUGGACGUAUACGGUGUGACGCCUGCCCGGUGCCGGAAGGUUAAUUGAUGGGGUCAGCGCAAGCGAAGCUCUUGAUCGAAGCCCCGGUAAACGGCGGCCGUAACUAUAACGGUCCUAAGGUAGCGAAAUUCCUUGUCGGGUAAGUUCCGACCUGCACGAAUGGCGUAAUGAUGGCCAGGCUGUCUCCACCCGAGACUCAGUGAAAUUGAACUCGCUGUGAAGAUGCAGUGUACCCGCGGCAAGACGGAAAGACCCCGUGAACCUUUACUAUAGCUUGACACUGAACAUUGAGCCUUGAUGUGUAGGAUAGGUGGGAGGCUUGGAAGUGUGGACGCCAGUCUGCAUGGAGCCGACCUUGAAAUACCACCCUUUAAUGUUUGAUGUUCUAACGUUGACCCGUAAUCCGGGUUGCGGACAGUGUCUGGUGGGUAGUUUGACUGGGGCGGUCUCCUCCUAAAGAGUAACGGAGGAGCACGAAGGUUGGCUAAUCCUGGUCGGACAUCAGGAGGUUAGUGCAAUGGCAUAAGCCAGCUUGACUGCGAGCGUGACGGCGCGAGCAGGUGCGAAAGCAGGUCAUAGUGAUCCGGUGGUUCUGAAUGGAAGGGCCAUCGCUCAACGGAUAAAAGGUACUCCGGGGAUAACAGGCUGAUACCGCCCAAGAGUUCAUAUCGACGGCGGUGUUUGGCACCUCGAUGUCGGCUCAUCACAUCCUGGGGCUGAAGUAGGUCCCAAGGGUAUGGCUGUUCGCCAUUUAAAGUGGUACGCGAGCUGGGUUUAGAACGUCGUGAGACAGUUCGGUCCCUAUCUGCCGUGGGCGCUGGAGAACUGAGGGGGGCUGCUCCUAGUACGAGAGGACCGGAGUGGACGCAUCACUGGUGUUCGGGUUGUCAUGCCAAUGGCACUGCCCGGUAGCUAAAUGCGGAAGAGAUAAGUGCUGAAAGCAUCUAAGCACGAAACUUGCCCCGAGAUGAGUUCUCCCUGACCCUUUAAGGGUCCUGAAGGAACGUUGAAGACGACGACGUUGAUAGGCCGGGUGUGUAAGCGCAGCGAUGCGUUGAGCUAACCGGUACUAAUGAACCGUGAGGCUUAACCUUACAACGCCGAAGCUGUU